rnacentral:rRNA from 1 species
UCGUGGGGCAGCAGGGGCGUAGCAAUACGUUCGCUGGCGACCGGCAAACGGGUGCGGAACACGUACACAACCUUCCUUAAAGUGGGGGAUAGCCCGGGGAAACCCGGAUUAAUACCCCGUAACAUAAUGAAGUGGCAUCGCUUUAUUAUUAUAGCAGCAAUGCGCUUAAAGAUGGGUGUGCGACUGAUUAGGCAGUUGGCGGGGUAACGGCCCACCAAACCUACGAUCAGUAACUGGUGUGAGAGCACGACCAGUCACACGGGCACUGAGACACGGGCCCGACUCCUACGGGAGGCAGCAGUAAGGAAUAUUGGUCAAUGGACGCAAGUCUGAACCAGCCAUGCCGCGUGGAGGAUGAAGGUCCUCUGGAUUGUAAACUUCUUUUAUCUGGGAAGAAACCCAUAAAUUCUUUUGUGGUUGACGGUACCAGAUGAAUAAGCACCGGCUAACUCCGUGCCAGCAGCCGCGGUAAUACGGAGGGUGCAAGCGUUAUCCGGAUUCACUGGGUUUAAAGGGUGCGUAGGUGGGUUGGUAAGUCAGUGGUGAAAUCUCCAGGCUUAACUUGGAAACUGCCAUUGAUACUAUCAAUCUUGAAUACCGUGGUGGUCAGCGGAAUAUGUCAUGUAGCGGUGAAAUGCUUGGAUAUGACAUAGAACACCAAUUGCGAAGGCAGCUGGCUACGCGGAUAUUGACACUGAUGCACGAAAGCGUGGGGAUCAAACAGGAUUAGAUACCCUGGUAGUCCACGCCCUAAACGAUGGAUACUCGACAUACGCGAUAUACUGUGUGUGUCUGAGCGAAAGCAUUAAGUAUCCCAC